UAAAACCAUUAUUCAACCUUUGAUGAAAUCCGACGUGAAAACCUAAAGAAAAUCAGAUUCGCUUGAAGAACGAGCAGCUUGAAAUUCCCAACUCCUUCGAAUCUCGACAAAUUAUUGUCGAAGAGGAAAAAUGGUAGAGAACUACCCAUACUGUGUGUAUAAGUAGAUUGCUCGAAUUAUUAUGUGAAAAUCCGCAUUCAUUGGAUUGUUUGAGGCUAAAACCAAUCGGAGCUUUUGCAUUUUCAGGUCAAUUUAUUUGUUUUGUUCUCGUAUGGUAUGAGUAAUGUAUCUAUCGUAUUUACGUAAUGGGUUUUUUGAAAUGAAAUUUUUUUAGAUUGAGUAGGAGUUUAGUGACGUGGGCAAUGGCGCCUCCGCUAAUUCUUGCUUUAGAAUUGCCAUCGGAGACGGGUCGGGUUCUCAGUAUUCAAUCUCACACUGUUCAGGUGCUUCUUGUUUAUUAAUUC
rnacentral:lncRNA from 1 species